CUAGGAAGUCAUCUGUGCAAGGUAACGUGAUGAUGAGGUGGGUUACCUCUGAGAUGGAGUAUCUAGUGAGCUUCCUUAAGUGUCAGACUGAUGCCUGCUUCGAUCUGCAUAGAAAUGUGAAUGCUCGAAUAUCCCUGCAGAAACAGAGGUGUGAGGUCACACGUGUGUUCCAGGGGGUUUGCUGUAUCAAAAUAAAACCUGUGGCAGUGUGAGAUGUUUAUGAGGUGUUAUCCGUACCUGGGAGACACGAAGAGAGGAAGAAAAACAAAGCUCAAGUGCACAGCAACAACUCCAAAACUAGAAAAAAUAUAUAUAUGAAAAAAGAAAAAAAAAAAAAAAAAAAAAAGGAAAGAACCAAAGUUCUGAAAACAACAACCAAACUCAUUGCUUUCAAGGUGGGUUAACAACAUGCAAAGCACAUGCCAGAACAUGUGUUAUUAGCAAUAAAAAAAGCCCUUUAUUUGUCUCUCUGGGGAAUUUCUUUCACACUCACUUUUUUCAAAACUAUCUUUAUUUGUUUCCCUUCUCCCUCUCUCUCUCUCUCUCUCACACACACACACAGGCAGAUCACUUAAAUAAAACAAGGUUUUAUAUUCAUUCCAGGCAGGGAUUCCUGCCAAAAUGUGUGCCUCUUUUUUUUUUUUUCUCCCCCACACUUUUUCUUAUAUACAGACCGGUGAAGAAAAUACAGAAAAAUCGGAGGCCUAUGAGGUGACAGAUGAACAAGAUGUAGAGGCAAAUUAUCCAAAUGGUGUUGCAAAAGGAAUGGCUUUUACUGGCAGAAAGGAACGUAUUUUUACAAAGGUUAAAGGAAUUCCUCUGUUUCUAUUCGAUUUUUCCAUGCUGGAAGUUUUAUUUUCAAGAGUAGACAAAGGUCCUGCAUUUUAGACAUUCUGGAGAAUUCUUUCCUUGGAUUUGUUGCUUUGUUUGCUUGUUUGCUAGCUUUUUUGUUGUUGUUGUUGUUUUAAAUGAACAGUGGGGGUCUCUGUCUUAAUUUUCUCCUAUUUUAUGCACAGAAGUUCCGUUUGCUCUGAAUUCAAUUGCCAGACAUGCAAGACUUUGAAUGUCUCCAGGGAUGGGUCACUCACCACCUCUCUGGGCAACCUCUGCCAGUGCUUCACUAUCUUUAUUGUAAAACCUUCUUAUAUCCAAUCUAAGUCUCCCCUCUUUUAGUUUGAUACCAUUCUGCCUUGUCCUAUCACAACAGAACGUGCUGAAGAGUCCAUCCUCUUCUUUCUUAAAGCCCACCUUGAGAUACUGAAUGGCCACUAUCAGGUCUCCCCGUGGCCCUCUUCUCCAGGCUGAACAACCCCAGCUCUCAGCCUGUCCUCAACAGUAGGGAUUCAGAGAAGGGCAACAAAGCUGGUGAGGGGUCUGGAGCACAAGUCUUAUGAGGAGUGACUGUGGGAACUGGGAAUAUUUAGUCUGGUAAAGAGGAGGCUCAGGGGAGACCUUAUCACUCUACAACUGCCUGAAGGGAGGUGGUGGUGAGGUGGGUGUUGGCUUCUUCUCCCAUGUAACUAGCAAGAGGAUGAGAUGGAAUGGCCUCAAGUUGUGCCAGGGGAUGUUCAGGUUGGAUAUUAGGAAAAAAAAUCCCCCAAAGAGAGGCCAGGUGCUGGAAUGGGCUGCCCAGGGAGGUGGGAGUGUCACCAACACUGGAGGUGUUCAAGAAACGUUUAGAUGUUUUGCUGAGGGACAUGAUGUUUUCCUGAGGUUUAGUGAGAAAUAUUGGUGAUAGGUGUACAGUGGGACUCGAUAAUCUUGGAGGUCUUUUGCAACAUUGGUGAUUCUAUUCUAUGAUUCUGUGCUCCAUCCCUUGGAUCGUUUUUAUGGCCCUCCUCUGGAUACACUACAACAGGUCUGUGUUGAGGUCAGGGGGGCUCUAUGAAUUGGUUAAUAGAGGAAACUUGGAUACAAGGCAGCCAACCAUAAGCAGAGACUGCAAUGUUAAUGGUCACAGGGAAUUAAGAGCAAUGUGAUGGACCUGUAGAUGUCCCUGUUCAUGGCAGGGGGGUGUUGGACCAGAUGGCCUUUAAAGGUGCCUUCCAACUCCAGUGUUUCUAUGAUUCUAAGAUUUAAAACAGGUCCUCUUCAAGAGCAGAGUACCAGGUUGGGUAAGAAUUAUUAUCUGUUAAUAUUGCUGUCCUUGCAGAAAUGAAAGUUAAAGACCAGUAAAUGAAAAAACACCUCUACCUGUGCAACCUACCUUAGAUCCGUUAUUGUGCUUUGUAGAGUUUGCUGCACCACUGUGAUAAGUUACUGUACAGCUCCCACUGCAUUCAGUGGGCUUCAGAUCAGCCCAUGUUUGCAAAACAUUCUCAUGGGAGGGUCCUCCUAAUAGGGAUCUCUGGUCAGUGCAGCAGUGCAUUCAAAGACAAAGAUAGCUUUUGCCAGCUCCUGUCCAUAGCACAAAGAGUUGAAAUAUCCACAAGAGAAAGUUAGCUCCCAUUGCAGCAAACCCUACUUGAUGUAAGUGGGCAAGACAUUCAUGCUGAAGCUUAAAUUACUGCUUGCCAAGUAGUUGGACUGAAGGAACUACCAAAGUGCCAAAAAAUGAUGGUUUAUGGCCUAUUUCUAGUCUCCUUCGAGGCUGUAGUCAUAAAAGAAAAUGGCACUCAGAUGACAGAAAAUAUAAGGGGAGACUGUAUGUUAAAUGGCUGAAAUCAACUGAGACUCAGGAGAGAGCAAGAGAGGGUGCUGAUUUCUAGCAAGUGUGUGGAGAAGUAGAAGCAAUUGUGCAUGGUGCCACCUGGGAAACAGCCAAGAUGUGGUUUAAAGCUGUAGAUAAGAGCAAAAGGAAAGAUCCGAAGGAUCUUAUGCAAACAGGAAUCACAACGUUACUGGAUUUGCUAGGCAUGGGAGGAAUGAAAUGUUGGAAAAGGCAACGCUGAAAUGUUCUUGACCUCUGCUCAGCUGACUCAGAGGGAAUGUAAAACGCCCAGAGGAAUCUUGAUUGUGAUCUUAGAAUGUACCGAGAUUUUUACUGCAGAAAAGUAGAAAUAGUUGGAAGAGUUUGCAAUUUAAAUUCAUUGUUAAGCCUCAGUAGGAUUGAAGGCCAGCACAGGCCAAUGUGGGGCCUGAAAGGAAGGUGAAGAUUAGCUUAGAAAGAGUAAUUUGAAGGUCUCUGAAAAGAAGCAGAAGCAAGUUCAAAGGAUAAUUCAAUAAACAAAUAAAGAGAUACGCUAGGGAAAGAGCAGAAAUACAUGAAAAAGGAAAUAACACUGUGCUACACAGACCAUUGAAGGAAACACAGCGUUGAAGAACGUUUUAAGAUGAGUGAAGGCAGAUGGAUGUGUUCUCUCAGUGUGGGGAGAUCCUGGGUGGGUUUUAGUUAUCUCUUUACAAACGUCUGCCUUUGGGAGGAAAAGACCAACCAAUAAUAAUCCUCAAGAAUCACCUACUGGGGAUACCCUAACAGGCAUGGUUUUCAGGAUUGGGAUUGGGAAACCCCAUGUCUUCCCCUUUUCUGUUGAAAAUCAACAGAAUUAGUGCGAAUCUUCAUGGUACUUUCUUUGGACGUUAUUCAGAUACCUAACCAUUUUGAAGUGACUGUUGUGGCACAUUAUUCAGCAGGGAAGCAAAAGGUUGUGAAUCUGUGGUAUAGCUUUGUUCCUUUCUGUCUGAGAAACUUGAAGUGUAUUGGAGAGAAGUCACCCUCCCAAAGGAUGGACUUACUUAUCUGAGCUUUUACAUUUCUCUUUCUUCAUCAUCAACUUCACAGGGUCACGAGUGUUUGUUGUACUAAUUAGCUGAGCAGACUGCUGUCUUGAAUCUCUAAUUACAAAACAUUUUCUUCAUUGUCUGCCUUUUCGGCCCUGCAGGGCAUUUCUUCAGUCUUCAGGAGUGGGGUUUAUCUCAACAGAUAUUAGCCACACAGCAGGCAAGCAUUUUGUCCCACACAGGUAAUGAUAGCCAUACACAGCAGACAAAAAUCAACCCCUUCGGAGAAAAUUCCUUUGCCCAAAAAUGAGCCUGGACUACUCGCAUCAGCCAGAUGCUUGACUUCUAGAGAUGGCUGAAGAUAAUGGAAAAGAACUCACAAAAAUAGACUUAAACAUUCAAUCUGCUCGGCCAUCACGAGGCAAAUACCAUUGUGCCUUGGUUGCCACGUAAGGAAUGUGCAGAGCAGAGCACAAGUUGCCAGGGGCUCUCAUGCAGCGGAGAAAGAGCAAAGCUAACGAGAGCAGAUGUCUAAUAGAUAAGGCAUGACAAAUUCAAAUUAUAAGGCAUGGACGUGUGGAAGUGAGUGAGGUUAGCUCUGGGAAAAAAGCACCAAGAGAACUGGAAGAUCUCUCACAUCCUUGAACAGUGAUGAGCUUAUUUUCCGAGGAUGAGCUGCAGUCAAACACGAGUUAUUGAGUUUAAUAUACAGGUAACUGGGUAUCAUUAAAUAGCCUGCAAUACUCAGGUCAGAUGAGCUAAUAGUCCCUCCUGGACUUACACUAUGAUCUAAAGCUGUUUAUUAAUCUAAACCUGGCCUGUCUGCAGGCUCUUCAGUGGAUUUCUGGUUUAGGAUAUUAUUCCAAGUGUGUGGAUUUGAUUAUGAUUGUUGAAAGGGUCCAGAACCUGAAAAAGAGUUUUAUUUUUAUUUUUUUUCCUAGAAGUGCACAGCACACUACAGAAAAAAACAAAACAAAACAAAACAAAAACCUUAUUUUGCUCCAAAACACAGAAUAUCCCACACCCCAAAAUAUUCUCUUUUCAGAACUACAAAAUAUGGUAUUUACUCUGAUACAUGAUUUUAGUAGUUUUCAGAUUUAUUUUGUGAAUUUAGCCCUCUUAUGUACUAUUUCUGAAGUCCAAGAUGAGCCAGUGGAGAUAUUUCCUGAAGUAUCAUCUUGCAUUCAAAGAGAACUCAGACAUUCAUUUCUUGGAGUAGGAGUGUUAACAUCAUAGAAUCAUAGAAUGGCUUGAGUUGGGAAGGACUUCAAAGAUCAUCUAGUUCCAACCCCCAAAAUGAGAAGCAAAGGCACAUUUAAACGAUAUUCUGUCAGUAAAAAUGUUUUCAGAAGUGCCAUCAAUGCAAGCUGUGGGAGUCACUUGUCACUUAGGCAGAAUGGAAUGUCCAAGCAUUCGUAAUGGCAAAGGUACAAAAUCACAGUCUGUAGUCAGUUGAUGCUCUGUAGAAACCAGAAGGUGAAAGAAAAGCAGUACGUGUCUUGUCUCAGAAACACCUCCUGAAUCCUAUGUUGAUUUCAUGACUUCCUGGGGUGGGUUCAUGGCUUUUUUGGGAUGGCUGUGCUGGAUAGUGUUGGCAGGUGAUGACACCAGAGUCUUGAAAUAGAGAAGGAGUGAGAAGUGGAAGGGAAAUGCACACUUGAAUAUUGUCUUUUGUCUCAAGUCUUAAGGAAAAACCCAACAUAUUGUCCUUGAUGUACACAAAAACUAUGUCAGUUAUUUAUGGAUGUUAAGAAAAUGUGUUAGCUGUAAAGACAGAGUCUGGUCUACGAGUGGAGAAGAAAGAGUCAUCUUUGCAAAACCUUAGCACUGUGAAAAUUGAUGGUUGGAGUGGAUGAUCUUGUAAGUCUUUUCCAACCUUGGUGAUUCUACAAUUCUAUGAUCCCUACUGUUACGGAGCACUGAGGACUCGGUUGUCUAGCCUGGAGAAUAGGAGGCUCAGAGGCAACCUCAGUGCUUCUACAACUUCUUAAGGAGGGGAAGUGCAGAGGGAGGUGUGGGGCUCUUCUCCCUCUCCCUGGAAACCGAUGACAGGACACGCAGGAACGGCACAAAGUUGUGCCAGGGGAGGAUCAGAGUGGACAUCAGGAGAAAUUUAUUUACCAUGAAUUUGGGAAGCUUUGCUUUACAAGAGCAGAGGCAAAGGGUUUCCAACUUCAUUUUGGCUGAAUUCGCUGGUAAAGUGAAGGGGCAGAGAAGAGUGGGGGCAGGCAAUGAGAGGUUACUGAACACCUGAAUAUCAGGUCCCUGAAAACUCUUCUGAUGUAGCUACCCAGAGUCAUCUUGAAGUUUUGGAAGCCAUAGACUUGCAGAGUAAAACCUGCUCCCCACUGCUACCUGUUGGCACAAUGUUGUUUCAGUGCUGUAAUGAAUAUCUGCAGCACACCAACCUGUAGACAACCUGAGGAAUAAUUACAUCUCCUGUCAUGUCCCUCAGUACCCAGACAGCUGACCCCAUCCUUUAAAGUAAUGGAAACCACUUUCACUGCAGCAGGCUAGCAACUAGAAAACAAAGAAACAGAAGAGAACAGCUCCAUCCAUCACUUGGCAGUCAGUAGUUCCAGCUGCUUCUAAAUCUGCUUUGAAAUUUCAUUUUUCACCCAGAGCACCACCAAACAUUUUCCAUUUGGGGAUGCUCCAGUCUUUCUUAUCUUACGUAGAUCAUUUCAGAACUCCCUUAAGAGUGCAGCUGUUUUUGAGUUGAAGCUUCACUGAGUACCCAGGGCAUCGAAGGCACCCACCAAUGGUAAUUGAAACUGGUGAGCACCUCGAGUCCCAAGAGAAGACAGAAGAAGCAGGGAAUGCUCAGUACUUUGCAAAAGCCCUCUUUUACAGUAAUUUGCCCAUGCUGGGGAUAUAAAUACAGCCCUUCUCUGUUUCCUUCUCCUUGAAAAGGGCUGUAGGCACUGAAAACCCUUGGCGGAUGCCUGGGGUCAGUUAGCUUGGUUGGUGGACAUCUGGCUCCCAACCUGAAAACACAGGGUGGACGUAAAUGGCAAUUUUCAGGUGGGGAGAGGAAAAAUGAGUGAAUAACAGAAUGAGGUAUAGAAUCAGCUGAGGCAGAGAAUAGAGUUGGGUAAGUUGCACUUAAAGUUAAAACUGACCUUCCCUUGGUAGUGAUUCCUUAUGAUCUUUUUGAGCCACCUCAGGCAUUUCUUAGCAUGCAGCACUUUCUGCUUCCCUUUCAUCCUAAGAAGCCAGCCAUUAUUUCAGUGGAGCCUCUUAACUAAUUAGCGCUCAGCCCUGUGAGGUGAAAGUUGAUCAGAGGAUGGGGAUCAGGCCCACCACUUCGCAGCAGUCUCAACGGUUUCAAUUUUGCACGGCUUGCUUUCCCUGCCCAAGGUUUUGCAUUUUGACAUAUUGCUUCAAUACAGCACAUUUUAUGGCACCUUUGCUGGAGGCCAAAGGCUACAUUCCUUCUACACAUCCUGCAUGCAAUUUUCAUUCUCUUGUCUUCAAUGCUUCAUAGAAUUUUUUCUUCCUCUCUCUCUUUUUCUUUCUUUCUUAUUUUUUUUUUCCUUCUCUCCUCCAGGAUAUUGUGGGUUAUUACCUCAAUCCUUUUUCAGCUGAGGAAGGUUUGAGGUAAUGACCUGAAACUUCCUGGAAAAGAUCCCAAAAAGCCCCAAAUGGAAACCACAUGCAACAUAUUAGGGACCCUCACUGCAUAAAGAAACAUUCGUUCAAGUAACAAGAACAUACAUUGAUCAACUACUCAUGUACCAGCUGGCAUGAAUGAUCAGCAAUGCAGAAGAACUGGGUGGGUGAGUAGCUGAUCUGUUAAGCUAUAGCAAGGAAGAUGUAAAAUAUAUAUUCUCUUUUAGGAAAUAGUUUCCUUAAUCACCAUCCUUGCAGCUGGGCCUGGGAUCUGCCUCUUUGUGGUAGCAAAAACCUGGAAGAGAUCCAUGGAACCUGCAUGAUGCCAAACGUUGCCUGUUUAUGAACCCAUGGAGCCCCAGCGCUGCUUGGUUGAUGCUGCAGUAUCAGUGAGAAAAUGGCUGAGAACUUUUUAUUGUUACCACAGGGAGAAAAGAGUUUUCUUCUUCUCCAUGUCCAGUUAAAAUAAUUUCCUUUUUUGUCAGUAACAAAAAAAGUGUGUUGUUUCCCCCUUCGACCCCCAGAAAUUCUAUAGUUCUGCAGGGAGAGGCAGAGCGGAUAAUGAUAAAAUAGCCAUUCUGGCCCAUCUCCAGGAAGGUAUUUCAGCUCUUGAUUUCCAGUGAAGUCAAAUGCACUCACGGAAGUGAAGGCAAGAUAAUAUUGAGUGGCUCCGGGCCUUUGGUGUUGCAAAGCCAUCUCGUCAUCUGGUGGAAAUCUUGAUGUGCUCUAUCAUGAGAUCAUGACUUGUUCAUUUGUGGAGUAUUGUUUCAUUUAACCCAGAUGAUGCAGUUCAGCCCAGGGCCCAGCAGUAUCCGUUCUUCUUCCAAAAUGAUGACAAAAUCCUACCACGAAAAGGUGCAAAUUAAUAGAAGACCUGGAGCAGUACGGGCAACUUGGGUGCACCACACGAGUAGGAAUGUGAACUGUGAUGAUUCAUCUACUGUUCUCCAAAUGGUUCUGAUCCAGAGCCCUCUAAUAUCCCAAACCAAGGCAGAGAAGAAGCCACUAGAAAACUAGUCUGCCUGAUAACGCAGCAAGAGGAAUCUUAUGGUGAAGGAAAGAACCUUCAUAUUUAACUUUCUCUUCCAACAGAGCCACAUUAGAUAGUGUAAGUUAAUGAGAGCUGAAUGAAGACUUUUGAAAUGUGAAGUCCAGACCACUGCCAACUCUCAUCACUUCAUUGUGCACAUAGAAUCGUUUGAGUUGGAAGGGAUCCUUAAAGGCCAUCUAGUCCAACUUCUCUGCAGUGAGCACCUAUAGCUUGAGCAGGCUGCUCAGAGCCUGGUCCAUCAUGUUUAUUCCUUUUCUUAAAGGCCUGCUUGCAGAAGCUGAGUAUCUGUGCCUUCAUUUCUCCCUCUUUUGGGAAAGAAAAAAUAAAAAUAAAAAGAAGAAAAAAAAGAAGAGUCUAUUUUAGCCCUUAUGCAUGUUGAAAGUGCUAGAAUACACGUCUUAUGUAUGUCUAAUUGUGCCAAAAUCAAGUAGUCAAAAGAAAAGAAUCCAGAAUACAUUAAUUCUCAUGAUUUCUAAUCCAGCCUCAGAAUUUAUGAGCCUACUGCUUCAUGAUUCAUCAUUUCUGCAUGAUUGGCAGUGAUGUGGUGGAAUAUAAGAAGCGGCUGAGAGGAAAAAAGGGGAAAGGCUAUAGAUGUUUGCCCUGGAUCUCCAUGGUGGGAUGGAAUAGACAAUUACUUACAGUAAGUCUUCUUCUGCACCUCAGUAUAGUAUUCAAAAUUGCCUUGCCUUUCCCUCUUGCCUGUCAAAGGUAUGAAGGCCAUGAUGAAUUAAAAGAAUUUGAAGACAUUUUCUGGAAAAUUUGGAGUCAAGAUAUUAUUCCACCUUUAAUAUUUUACUCUUUAAUUCCCAUCUCUUUUCAUGUGCCCUACAGAAGUUUUGCAACAGCUCCUUGGCCCAGUCAUUAAGAAGCACAAAAGAAGUGGAAGAUAAAAGGCAACUUCAUUUUUGUUUGCACAGGUUUCUUAAGAGAAGGAGGCUGCCAUCUGGGUGGAAAUCUGACAAAACAUCACAGGAGGGGUUGGGUCCAUCCGCCAAGCUGAACAACUGUGUGGAAACUAAAAGAAAACUGAACCAGCCCACUGGAAUAAAUUAUGGUGGCUGGCUUGGGGAGACAAUGACAAAAAGAAGUUCAGUUCUUUAUCUGGUGUUUCAACAUGAGGUCUCAUGCCAAAUAUAUCCAAAGCUCCAUUUUCAGGCUCUGUUGAGAGCUUCACCUGGGAUUUUUUGCAGGAGUCAUCGAAGAGGAGAAAUGGCACGUGAUAACUUUGUGACUCCAUAACGUGAUGUCUAAGGCUUCAGCCCAUCCUCUCACCAUGUCAUGGAAUCAUAGAAUUGCUCAGGUUGGAAAAGACCUUUAAGAUCAUCGAGUCCAACCACGACCUAACCAAACUACCCUAACUCUAACAACGCUCCGCUAAAUCAUGUCCCUGAGCACCACAUCCAAACGGUUUUUAAAGACAUCCAGGGAUGGUGACUCAACCACCUCCCUGGGGAGCCUAUUCCAGUGUUUCACAAUCCUUUCUGUAAAGAAGUGUUUCCUGAUGUCCAACCUAAACCUCCCUUUAGCACAACUUGAGGCCAUUUCUCCUCGUCCUGUCACCUGUCACCAGUGAGAAGAGACCAACCCUGUUUUCACUGUAAGCACCUUUCAGAUAUUGGAAGAGAUCAAUAAGGUCUCCCCUCAGCCUUCUCUUCCCCAGACUAAACAGCCCCAGUUCCUUCAGUUGCUCCUCGUAGGCCAUAUUCUCCAAGCCCUUCCCCAGCCUUGUUGCCCUUCUCUGGACCUGCUUCAGCACCUCCAUGUCCUUUCUGUACUGAGGUGCCCAAGACUCAACACAGUACUCGAGGUAUCAGAACAUCUCACCUCCUCUCUUACUACUGCAAUGUGUUUCAUCGGACUUAUGAGGUUUUUUCAUCAGUUAGGUCCUUCUGGAAUCUGAAUCCCCACCAAAAAAAAAAAAAAAAAAAAACCAACAACAACAAAACAACCCCACAAAAAACUCCCAAAACCAAAUGUCAAGCCAUUUGGUUUCCAGAUCUCUUCUACCUCAAAACGUCCUGCCAGCCCAUGACCCAACCCAUGACCUCCUUGCCCUUGGUUCUCAAGGCUACAGCAGCAUCCAACUUCUCAUUUCUCAUCCACAUGACCAUCAGAAACAGUAUAAUCUAUUGCCUGCUCUAUUGUUUACCACUAUAGGAAAUGAUUUGGCUUUGCUCAUCUAUAUUGCUCCUCACGUAGUUAGCAGCUGCUCUUAGAUUCCUUCUGAACUAGCCUAGCUCCCUCAAAUUGUCCUUGUAGCUCUCGUGCUCCAGGUCUCUGACCAUCUUGGUAGCUUCACAGAGUUUUGUGUUUUUGGUUUUAAAUGUAAGCUGGAAGGAAGGUGGGCCAAGAUACUUAUAAUUGAGGCAAUGCAAGGAGAUCAGAGAGUCUUCCACUGAAGGAGUUCUAGCACAGCUUUGGGGCCUCAAGGAGUUUGCACGUCUCUGAAAGGAUGCUGGUAAGUGCAAGAGUGGAUUUACUGGGUAGGCUGGGAAAAUCCACCGUCCUUUCCCUUUUAGAAUUGCCCUAUCCAUCACACACACAAUGCUACAAGAUGAGGAGCCAGCCCAUAGCCCUUCUUCAUGUUACAGCUCCCUACAGCCCUGGAGCACUUGAAUUUAGAGGUCUCUGGGACUGUUCCUUGGCAGUGGAGCAUAACACACAUUGUGCUGUUAGUUCUGCCUUUCCAUUACAAACAUCCUUUGAGUUGCGUGUGACUUUGUCACACUUCAGCAAUUCAGCUUGACAUUUUCUAUGCCUUGGGCUGAUUUCUGGGUGUGAAGCUUUCACAAAACCCAUCCUUUCAGCCUGUGAACAUUAAGUGGCUUUGCCAGCAUCUCUUUUUAUUCUUUUUUCUUUUCUCUUUUUUUUUAAAUACGUUUUUCAGUUCUCAGGGCCAGAUUCUCAGCUGGUGUCUACAAUUCACAACCACUGUGUACCUACCUACCUGCUGCUGCUAUGUAAGCAAAUUGCAAACUGUGCAGAAAGCAUUAUGCUUUCGUGGUAUUGUAAAUUCUCAUUUAGGCAUGAGUCUUUUUUCCUUUCGUGAGUCAGGGCUUGCUUGGGCCCUGGCAAAGACCUCAGGUUCAUACUGUGUGAUGCAAAACCUGAGAGCUGGGCAGCAUCGUGUGGCAGAGUCUGACCCAGAUGUGGCACCAACAGUGCCAAGAUAGUGCUGACACUUGCGUGUUUCUGCAUGAUGCUCCAGGUCUCAGAGCUGAUGGGGUGUUUCAUUUGAACGACCUUUCCACAAGUGCUCAUUGAUAUUUUGUGCUUUCCUUACAACUUCCAUCUUGCUUUUUCUCCCAGAAAUUGAGGUGUAACACCUUUACCCAGAACUGGAUUGUCAGCCCAGGUUGUGUGGAUUCUCAGACACCAGAGGGAACUCCACCCAGGUUCUUACCAUCAUCCAAAUCCAGACUUUACCUUGCACGUGUCUCCCCAUGGGCUUGCACAUGGAUGACAGGAGAGUCUCAAUGACUGUAUAUCUGUUAACUUCUGACUUCGACUCUUCCAAGCACUAUUUUCCUUUCUUUUGUUCACCCCCUCAACUCAAAUGAGAUAUUUCUGCUCCAGCUCGUCCUGCCUAAGUGAUAUUCAUCUUCAUUGCAAAUAGCCAUGUGUCAUCUGUUAGAAAUAAUCUUGUCUAGGUGCGCACAGGACUUGAAAAAUGUGCUAAUAGUAAGCAGAUUCUCCUAUUAAAAUACACAUGUCCCAUGCAAGUUCAAACAGUUCAGUUUGCAUGUUCCAGGAAUGACAAAUAAAAGCAUGAUGACCAGGCCUGGUAAAGAAUUAGUUUCAAAGGCAGUCAUGGGGUCAGGGCUGUAGUGUGUUAAUUACCCACACGGGGCAGUACCUCUUUCUAAGAGGUUACUCUAUCAGUGUGAUGUACAUCAUAGAGCUGUAAACCUGAAAAGAAAUCAGGUUUCCACUGCCUAUGGUAACUUCUCCAAUGGCAUAAGGAAUAACUUUAUUUACUGUCACUUCAGAAGUAAUACAUUAAAGAUUUGCACGAUUUGAGUGCUGAUGGAGUGGCCUGAGGGCUGGGUUUGUUCUGAGGGCUCACUUCAUUCACAACACAGCCCCAGUAGGUUCUGGAGAGCUGGAAAGAGGAAAUCUAUCUAUUUCUGGGCUAACAUUUGGAGUAAGUCACCAACAAGGCAGAGAUGGGGGGACCUCAGCUAAGUUACCUUACUGAGGAACUCAGUUCUCUGAUCCAAGUCACUGCGAAAGGCAGUUCCCUUUGUGAACCCACUUCUAAGUGCCUUCCAGGAAUCACAGAGUCAUUGAGGUUGGAAAAUACCACUACGAUCCCCAGUUCUAACCCCAGCCCACCCCCACUGUGCCCACUGACCAUGUCCACUCCUUGACACUCAUAUCAAGAUGAAACCUCUUCAGGUGCAGCUUGUACCCAUUUCUUCUUGUUUUCUCCAUCUGGGUCCUUGUGCACUGGGAGUCUCCAACCUCUUUGUAGCCACCCUUUAAGUACUGGGAUAUGGUAAUGAGAUCCCUCCUGAGACUUCUCCAGGGUGAAAAGACAUAAAACCUGAAGUUUUUCAUAGAAUCGUAGAAUAGUCUGAGUUAGAAGGGACUCUUAAAGGCCAUCUGGUUCAACUCCCCUGCAAUAAACAGGGACACUUACAGCUCAGUGAGGCACUCAAAGCCCCAUCCAGCCUGACCUGUCUCCAGGGAUGGGGCAUCCACCACCUCUCUGGGCAACCUGUGCCACUGCUUCACUACUCUUACUGUAAAAAAAAAAUAUCCAACUUAACUCUGCCCUCUUUUAGUCUGCAACCAUUUCCCCUUGUCAUAUCACAACAGGAGCCUUCCUCAUAGAGGAGGUUCUCCAGGCUUUUGAACAUCUUUGUGGCCUUCCUUUGGGGUCUCUGUUUUUGUCCACAUCUUAUUGGAAUUGUGGGGACCAGAGCUGGACACAGGACUCCAUGUGUGGCAUAGGUCUCUCUCAGUGCCUGUUUCCCAGAUAUCCUUUGCAGCUCACUAGGACUCUGGAUCUGCCUCCUGUUCUGUAGUGGUUUUGGAGAUUUCUGGGUGCAGGCAUCUGUCCAUGUGAGUCCUGCUCAUGGAAGAGAUGUUCUGUCAUCGAGAUUCAUAGAGCCUCUCUUCAGCCCAUCACAAACAGAGACUUCCAAGGAGGUCAAUCUACAGUUCCUCCUCUUUGCCCAUGUGUUUCUCCCAGAGGAAUCCGCCAGUCAUCCAAUACAUAAAAGCCAUCAGCGAGAAGGUAUAAAUAUCUCAGAGCUGAAAAUCUAAGGCUUGCCCAUUUCUCCCUCCUUUCUCUCUUUCCAUAACUAAGCAAUAUUCAAGAGCAAUGCUGAAGCAGGCAAACAAUAUUUUCCUUUCAUCUCCCUGAGCGAUGAGCCAAGAAUGGAACCAUUCUCCUCUGUUUGCUGCUACCCAAGAUUGGUGACUAUACAAACGUGUCUCUGUCCUCAUGAAGAGGGCUCGGGCACCUGGCCCUGCUGCUGGCAGCAUCACACAAGCCUGCAUUGUAUCUGACUGGUAUUGCGGCUCGGUGCUGCCCAGAUAAAAGCCAUCCGAAGGAUCUGCUCUGCCUCAAAGGACCAGACGUGCCUGGAAAGUCAUGCCAAGAUUUCAGUGGAGGUGAAGGAGGUUGGUGCAUUUACUGAUUUUAUUUAGAAAGUGGUUGCUGUGCUGUAUUCAGAGUAUACCCUGUUUUUCAUCCUUCAUGGUGCAGUUCUACAGGUACUUCACUAUUAAAAUCUUUCCAGACUACAAAUGGCAUAAGUAUAGCAGAGCGUGCAGGGACAGAUGCUUAUCCUCCACCAGCUUCACACGAAGCACAGUGAAGUUAUUCAGAUCAGAGUUUGAAAAGGCAUCCAGAGCUCCCUUAGCAUUCCCUUUGAGUCACAGAAUGGCUCAGGUUGGAAGGUGACCUUAAAGAUCGUCUACACCCAACCCCCUGCCAUGGGUUGGUUCCUCCACACCAGACCAGGCUGCCCAGGGCCCCAUCCAAUCUGGCCUUGAGCACCUCCAGGAAUAGGACAUCCACAGCCUCUCUGGGCAACCUGUUCCAGCACCUCACAGCCCUUAGAGUAAAAAAUUUCUGCCUGCCAUCUAACCUAAAUCUCUCAUUUUAGUUUAAAGCCAUUCCCCCUUGUUGUGUCACUAUCAGACUGUGUAAGAAGUUGGUCCCCCUCCUGCCUGUAACCUCCCCUCAGGUACUGGAAGGCCACAACCAGGUCUCCCCAGAGUCUUCUCCAAGCUUUGGUCUUCCCACACUCUUCAAGUGAUGCUGAGAUUGAUGGAUGAGGGUUUUGGUGUGUUGCUUGUGGCCGUUGCAUGUACAGUAGACAUUAGGGGAUGGCAAAGCACUGCGAACACCUCCAGAUCUGGGAGGUACAAGGGCCAUGGUAGACCACCAGCCAGAAGUAAUUAACAGCCCCAAACCUUAAGUGCAUGGGUGGUAAAAUGACAGGGUUCUGUUUUAGCUACUUCUGUCAACUUUGAUUCCUUUCCACUUCUCAUAACAUCUAUUUUAGUCCCUUAUUCAGACAUCUUUCUUUUAAUGGGGCUCUCAAGAAGGCUCCCUCCUCUUCUUGUCAUACCAGACACUGGUAUGCCACCCACCAGAUCAGGCUCCCCAGGGCCCCACCCAUGGCCUUGGGUAUGUCCAAGGAUGAGGCAUCCACAGUUUCUUUGGACAGCCUGUGCCAGGGCCUCACCACCCUGAGCUGACAACUCAAGUACCCUUUGUCAUACUCAAAGAACGGCAACAGAUAAUUAUUUGGAGAAAGCAAGGUGCUAAAAGCGCAGUCAAAUUUUCUUUCUCAGCCAUAGAUCCUCUCUGGAAAAGAAACAAACAAAUAAAAUCACACACACAAUUUUUGGGGGGGGACUUCUACCAAAAGAUCACCUUUAGGUAUGGUUAGGAACAUAGUUUAGUGGGCAUGGUGGUGAUGGGUUGAUGGUUGGUUUGGAUGGUGUUAGUGGUCUUUUCCAACCACAACGAUUCUAUGAGUCAUGAUCAUGAGAAAUGCAUUUUGUCACUUUGUGAAUCAUGUUAACAUAUUGCCUUGAUCUUUUCCCCUACCUAUGUCUGCAUAUUCAAAAAUCAGAUAUCUACAAGAGAUUGCGGCCAUCAUCUAAUCCGCUGUAUUGUUUGUGCAGACAGCACUACUUAAAGCAGGAAUUCCUGCAUUGACCCUACAACUCGGUCUCUAGCUAAGAUCUUAUUUUUAGAAUGGCAUUCAGUCUUGAUUUAGGGACUUGAUGUGAUGAAGGACUCAUCACAUCUAUAGAUAAACAGUCCAAAGGGUACUUUAUGCUUCUUGUGAAAAAGGAAACGUGCCUUUACACAUCAGCCUCCUGCAUUUAUCUGGUCUCUGCUUCCAGUUGGUGGCACUUCUGAUGGCUGUGCAACUUCCCUUGAAAUCUACAGAGGACAUAGAUGUGCUGUUUGCAGGUUCUGGUGUUUCACAUUCAUUUAGAAAAAGCACAUGGAUGAAUAAGGGAUUUGGGGUCCUUAUUUAAAUGAUGCCUUCUUAAGCCUGAGUGAAAACAAGAAUCGUACCCCAGAUAUGCAGCCCUGUGUCUACUGGGCAAGGGGGAGCUAUGAAGUGCUUCAGUGGGGCAGACUGAGUGAGGGUGCUUUUGGAAACAGGUUAUCUCCAGGAGGAUGAGUGGUCAGAGCAGGCUGCAAACCUGCAGUGGGGAAUGCCAAAGCACCGAUCUUUUAAUUUUAAAUAAGCAUGAGCCUCACAGUGCUGUUUGUUUUAUUGCCACCAUGCGAGCCCCCACGCAUGGCUGUUGGGCACAGAAAGGGACUUUCCUACCCUUCCAUCCCCAUGAGGCUGGGCAAGUGGUGGGAACGUGCUGGACUGAAUGAUCCUCGUGGGUCCCUUCCAACUAGGGAUAUUCUACAGUUCAGUGAUUUUCUAUUAGGAGUUGUGUCAUCAUCCUUCAUGCACCUGGGCUUUAACUCUGGCCACUGGACUGCAAAGCAGGCACCGAGUAGAUGCCUUUGGAGGUGAUGCUCCCAGAGCUUGCAACACCCUGACCUAAAUCCCAGUUUGUCCUCAUGAAUCACAUCCAUGUGGUUAGGUCUUGCUGAUAAGCACUUGGGACACAUGCAACCUUUUAAAAACACUCUAAUUAGUGGAAAGAAAAAAUAAACGCCGUCACUUAAACAUCAAAUAUCACAAUGAAAUUAGCAGGGAGAACUGAGCUGAGAGAACAUGCUGCCAAACUUAAAUCCCUGCAUCCAGCAAGAGCCCUGAAUCUACCAGAGAAAUGGGAAAAAUUCAGUGUGCUGAGUUUGAUGGGGUUUGGUUAUGAGGGGGUGGGCAAAUGUGAAUGUGCAUCUCCAAGUGCAGGUGGUGAGGAAAAGUAAACCACAACAAAAGGACAUAGGCAGCAUGUUAAUCCAUGUGGAGGGUUUGCUGCUGGAGAAGAUAUUAACAGCUUAACUGGAGAGUCCUCAAAAUGAGCAGAGGAAGAUUGCUGCACACAGAUCCCCUCUCUUAUCCCCUUUGGCCUCUACUUCUUCUCCCUUGGGGUUGGGGAUCCAGGUUCUUGGCUCUUCCCUGAAACCUAAACCUGCCCCCAAGGGUCCCAUUGUGUGCAGGCACAUUCUGCUUGAGGUGGCUUUGGGUGGACAACACAAGAACAGUAAUCUUGAUACCAAAUGGAUUGCUGCUUUCCUAACAUCUCACCCUAAUAUGCAACCAGGUGCAUUCACCUCUGCCAUGCAACCAUUCGUUAUCAUAGAAUCAUUAGGGUUGAAAAAGACCUCUAAGAUCACCUAAUCCAAUCGACCACCUACCACCAAUACUGCCCACUACCGUUCCUCAGUGCCACAUCUCCAUGGUUCUUCAACACCUCCAGGGACGGUGACUUCACCACCUCCCUGGGCAGCCCAUUCCAGAACUUGACCACUCUUUCAGAGAAUAAAUUGUUCCUAAUAUCCAACCUGAACUUCCCCUGGUGCAACUUAAGACCAUUAUGACCAAAAUUCCCCCAUCAGUGCAGCUCCAUGUACACAGCCUGGUAGAAAGCAGCUAAUGUUGCUCUGGCUAAUUAGGUUUAGAAUCCAGAGCAGAUGAUUUGGACAAAAGAGAAUCUGGGAUUUAGAGGCAGGCACUUCAUGCUGUGAACGGGAGAGCUGCUCCCCUCUUCCACAUAGCUUUGGUGCUCAGCCAUGGGAUGAUCGAGCUGUAAAUGUCUCUGUUCAUUGCAGGGAGUUGGACUAGACGACCUUCAAAGGUGCCUUCCAACUCAAAUGAGUCUAUGAAUCUACUGUAUGACUUCAAAACACCACUUCAUAGAAUCAUAGAAUCAUUAUGGUUGAAAAAGUCCACAGAGAUCAUCAAGUCCAACUUUCAGCCUUUCACCGCCACCACCUCCGCCGUCAGUACUUAGAGAUACCCUCCCUCAAGGUCUACCCAUGCAAGGCAUCCUGCUAUCACUUCAUUUGCACACGGGGACAGGAAUCUACAUAAACAUCAGAUGAAGCAGACCCCAUGAAAGAAAGGCUUCUGCACAGCACUGCCACAAAUGGGGCAAACAUCCAAGGGCGGAAAUACAAACGCCUCCCAUAAAAAUAAGAAACAAGAGAGAAAUCAUUCCUGCUUCAGAGAGGUUUCCUCUCUGCUCAGAGACAUGGGCAGUAAAUGGUUUCUGACACUUUCUGCAAAGCGAGCCAUUACGUCUCUUCUGUCAGGUCUCACCUGUUGUUAUUUCUAACGUUUCCUCUUCUCCAGCCUUUGCGGCGAGGUAAUAUAGUUGCUUUCAUUCAAGAACCAGACGAGUUGCCCCAUCUUGCAACCAGGACUUUGUCGUAAAUGAGCAAACAUCUGUUAAAUUCAGCUGUACUCCAUGAGAGGGUGAUUUUCUUUUCCUUUUAAAUGAAAGAAAAUAUAUAUAUAUAAAAGCCACAAAAGAAAACCAAGUGGCUUUCUUGUGUGUCUGAAACAGAAGGGGGAGAAAUGCUCAACUGACCUGUUUUUCUCCAGGCUCAUGCUUUCCUCCAUGAGAAACAUCUUCAUUUCAGUCCAGCUCUUUAUAAAGCAGACAAUGAGAGAUGGUAGAAAGAGCUGAUUUUUCAGGACAGCUCUAUGAGUGCUAAUUGCCCUGAGAUGUAAUAUUCUUCUGGUGGUUUGGGGUUUUUCAGCCACAAAAUCCCCAAUGCUCUUGGUCAUGUUCUCAUUUGGUGAAACUCAAUCUAGCCCUAAGGACUACAGCACGAGUAGUUUGCACCAGCUGAAAAAUGCUCACUCCUGGAUGCCUAAAAAGAGCAGUUCUGAAUCAGAAAUCUAUAUAAGCAUGUGUAUUUAUGCAUAUGCAUAUGUAUAUGUGUAUAAAUUAACUCUAUGUAAUCUAUUCCCCCGAUUUCAAUGGCAAUCUGGCAGUGUGAACCCGUUUCCUUCUGCUUUACUGCUAUUCCUACAAAGUUGCUUUAUGUUAUCCCUAGGUGAACCUCUACUGCUUCAUGUUUUCCAUAGGUGAAUCUCUACCAGGUCUUCUCUGGUCUCCCAGUGCUGCACUGGGCAGUGGCAUUGCAAUUUAGCAAACAUUUUGCUCUAACAGUAAACUUUGCAAAAACUCUGUCAUACAAAGUAAUAAUAAUAAUUAUUAUUACAAAAAUUCUCAUCUCUUGCCGGAAUCUGAAAUCAUCUAUCUCUGACUUGAGAGGAUGAGAGGGAAUGGCCUCAAAUUGCGCCAGGGGAGGUUCAGGUUGGAUAUGAGGAACAAUUUCUUCUCAGAAGGAGUGGUAUAACACAUUGGCACAGGUUGCCCAGGGAGAUGAUGGAGUCACCACCCCUGGAGGUGUUGAAGGAAGAUGGAGAUGCGGCACUGCUGGACAUGGCCUAUUGGGCAGUAUUGGUGGUAGAUGGCCAGUUGGACUAGAUGAUCUCAGAGGUUUUUUCCAACCUUAAUGAUUCCAUGUUUCUACGAUUUAGGUGCAAGAAAUGUAAGAGAUACUGUUUUAAUCUCACCUCUAGGAAAGGGGGAGGCAGGGAGACCCUUUGCUGACCUUGACCCUAUUUCUUGGCCAAGUCUGCUUUCAUUCCACAAACAGAAAGUCCUGAUGGGCAGUUGGACUCACCCAGGCCCUGGGCUCUGCAGAGGAUGAUUGCCUUAACCUUAACAAAUGCUGACGUAAACCAUUUGCUGAGCGUUACGCUGUGCCUUUUCCCUGAAGGGGUACGAAGCAUAUCUGACAUGCAGCCUUAUUUCUUGUGUUCAGUCAGGAACAGAUCUGAAGGCAGCUAAUAAACUUAUCUGCAUCAGAUUAAAUUGCCACUCCUGCCCUCCCUCUCCCUGCCC
ensembl:lncRNA